ensembl:misc_RNA 7SK 7SK RNA
GGAUGUGCGGGCGAUCUGGCUGCGACAUCUGUCACCCCAUUGAUCGCCAGGGUUGAUUUGGCUGAUCUAGCUGGCUAGGCAGGUGUCCCCUUCCUCCCUCACCGCUCCACCGACGCUGCGUGCUGGGUCGAAGAGGAUGACCUUCCCCGAUAGAGGAGGGCCGUUCUUCGUUCUUCGGUCAAGGGUAUCCGAGUAGCUGCGCUCCCCUGCUAGAACCUCCAAACAAGCUCUCGAGAAUUAUAUAAAACCCAGGAAAAUGCUGUUAUCAAAUUCUUCUGGGAUAAGAGACUAGGUCAGCAUUGGUCAUUCCUUUGUC